ACUCCUACGGGAGGCAGCAGUGGGGAAUUUUGGACAAUGGGGGAAACCCUGAUCCAGCCAUCCCGCGUGUGCGAUGAAGGCCUUCGGGUUGUAAAGCACUUUUGGCAGGAAAGAAACGUCGUGGGUUAAUACCCCGCGAAACUGACGUACCUGCAGAAUA
rnacentral:rRNA from 1 species